CCUACGGGAAGGCAGCAGUGGGGAAUAUUGCACAAUGGGCGAAAGCCUGAUGCAUCGACGCCGCGUGAGGGAUGACGGCCUUCGGGUUGUAAACCUCUUUCAGCAGGGAAGAAGCGAGAGUGACGGUACCUGCAGAAGAAGCGCCGGCUAACUACGUGCCAGCAGCCGCGGUAAUACGUAGGGCGCAAGCGUUGUCCGGAAUUAUUGGGCGUAAAGAGCUCGUAGGCGGCUUGUCGCGUCGGUUGUGAAAGCCCGGGGCUUAACCCCGGGUCUGCAGUCGAUACGGGCAGGCUAGAGUUCGGUAGGGGAGAUCGGAAUUCCUGGUGUAGCGGUGAAAUGCGCAGAUAUCAGGAGGAACCCCGGUGGCGAAGGCGGAUCUUUGGGCCGAUUCUGACGCUGAGGAGCGAAAGCGUGGGGAGCGAACAGGAUUAGAUUCCCUGGUAGUUCCCGCCGUAAACGGUGGGCACUAGGUGUGGGCAACAUUCCACGUUGUCCGUGCCGCAGCUAACGCACUAA
rnacentral:rRNA from 1 species